rnacentral:rRNA from 1 species
AUUGAACGCUGGCGGCACGCUUAACACAUGCAAGUCGAACGGCAGCACGAAGGGGUAACUCUUUGGUGGCGAGUGGCGAACGGGUGAGUAAUAUAUCGGAACGUACCCAGAAGUGGGGGAUAACGUAGCGAAAGUUACGCUAAUACCGCAUACGAUCUACGGAUGAAAGUGGGGGACCUUCGGGCCUCAUGCUUUUGGAGCGGCCGAUAUCUGAUUAGCUAGUUGGUGAGGUAAAGGCUCACCAAGGCGACGAUCAGUAGCUGGUCUGAGAGGACGACCAGCCACACUGGAACUGAGACACGGUCCAGGCUCCUACGGGAGGCAGCAGUGGGGAAUUUUGGACAAUGGGGGGCAACCCUGAUCCAGCAAUGCCGCGUGAGUGAAGAAGGCCUGGUUGUAAGACUCUUUGUCAGGGAAGAAACGGGGGUAGGGCUAAGUAUCUGCUCCUAAUGACGGUACCUGAAGAAUAAGCACCGGCGUAACUACGUGCCAGCAGCCGCGGUAA